UUUUUGCGGGUAAGUAUGAC
rnacentral:misc_RNA from 1 species